GACGAACGCUGGCGGCGUGCUUAACACAUGCAAGUCGAACGGAAAGGCCCUGCUUUUGUGGGGUGCUCGAGUGGCGAACGGGUGAGUAACACGUGAGUAACCUGCCCUUGACUUUGGGAUAACUUCAGGAAACUGGGGCUAAUACCGGAUAGGAGCUCCUGCUGCAUGGUGGGGGUUGGAAAGUUUCGGCGGUUGGGGAUGGACUCGCGGCUUAUCAGCUUGUUGGUGGGGUAGUGGCUUACCAAGGCUUUGACGGGUAGCCGGCCUGAGAGGGUGACCGGCCACAUUGGGACUGAGAUACGGCCCAGACUCCUACGGGAGGCAGCAGUGGGGAAUAUUGCACAAUGGGCGGAAGCCUGAUGCAGCAACGCCGCGUGCGGGAUGACGGCCUUCGGGUUGUAAACCGCUUUCGCCUGUGACGAAGCGUGAGUGACGGUAAUGGGUAAAGAAGCACCGGCUAAAUACGU
rnacentral:rRNA from 1 species